rnacentral:rRNA from 1 species
ACAGGGGGAUAACAGUCAGAAAUGACUGCUAAUACCGCAUAAGACCACAGCACCGCAUGGUGCAGGGGUAAAAACUCCGGUGGUACAGGAUGGACCCGCGUCUGAUUAGCUGGUUGGUGAGGUAACGGCUCACCAAGGCGACGAUCAGUAGCCGGCUUGAGAGAGUGAACGGCCACAUUGGGGCUGAGACACGGCCCAAACUCCUACGGGAGGCAGCAGUGGGGAAUAUUGCACAAUGGGGGAAACCCUGAUGCAGCGACGCCGCGUGAGUGAAGAAGUAUCUCGGUAUGUAAAGCUCUAUCAGCAGGGAAGAAAAUGACGGUACCUGACUAAGAAGCCCCGGCUAACUACGUGCCAGCGGCCGCGGUAAUACGUAGGGGGCAAGCGUUAUCCGGAAUUACUGGGUGUAAAGGGUGCGUAGGUGGUAUGGCAAGUCAGAAGUGAAAACCCAGGGCUUAACUCUGGGACUGCUUUUGAAACUGUCAGACUGGAGUGCAGGAGAGGUAAGCGGAAUUCCUAGUGUAGCGGUGAAAUGCGUAGAUAUUAGGAGGAACAUCAGUGGCGAAGGCGGCUUACUGGACUGAAACUGACACUGAGGCACGAAAGCGUGGGGAGCAAACAGGAUUAGAUACCCUGGUAGUCCACGCCGUAAACGA